AAACCCCACCAGCUCGGCCAUGUACCAGCUGCAUGACUCUGGAACACGCAGCUCUCAGGGCCUCUGUGUCAGUCACUGCCAGGGUGCGGGGAAGCCCUCUGGGGGCUUGUCAUCAUCAUCCCCAUUUCACAGAUAAGGAAACCAAGGCCAUGGGGUAUUUUCUCUCUCUCUUUUUCUCCUUUUUUUUUUUUUAAGACAGAUGGGGGGUCUUGCCCUGUUGCCCAGGCUGGAGUGGAGUGGCACAGUCAUAGCCCACUUCAGCCUCAAUCUCCUGGGCUCAAGCAAUUCUCCCACCUCAGCCUCUCAAGUAACUGGGACUACAGGCGUGCACCACUACACUCAGCUAGUUCUUUUUUUUUCCCCUCUAGAGAUGGGUUCUCACUCUGUUGCCCAGCCUGGUCUGGAACUCCCGGCCUCAAGCGAUCCUCCCACCUCGGCCCACCAUCAUAAGUUCUGUCACCUCAAGCGGCAUCCCUGGGCCCUGGUCUCCAAGUCCCGAUCCUGUCUGAAAAAUGGCCUGAAGGCCUAGCACAGGGCAGCCUCUACCUCAAAGCACCAUCCGGCUUAACAUCCCAGCGGUGCCUCAGAUGAGAAGCCCUGUGGUGGGGUCCACCAGAAACCCCUGGCCUCCAUGUCUCCUUCCUGGCCCCAAGGACAGCUGACACUGUCCAGGAGGAAAGGGCAAAGGGGAAGCACGUGGCAAGACACUCAUUUCUCAGAAAGUCUGGGUUAGGAGUCAGGGGACCUGGGUUCAAGUCCCGCAUCUGCCUCUGACUCACAGUGUCACCUUUGGCCACUCACUUCCCCUCGUCUGGACCUCAGUUUCCUCAUCUGGGAGUCAGUGGGGUGGACCAGCUGAUCUCCCAAGCCUUCCCCAAUUGGCAUUGCACUGUUGAAAUCCGGGCUGGUGAUAUCAUGCCCCCUCCCCAGCUCACCUCACUCUCACAACCAGCACUGAAGUCAGAGACCGUGACUGCCUUUGCAACUAACAAACUCGCAUUUGUGUGUAACGCUCUGAAUUUACAUUCAACAAAUGGCAAAGGCCUGUUACCUUUGUAUUUCUUUCUAAAAUGAACGUCAUAGCCUGGCCAGUGGUUCACAUCUGUCAUCCCAGCACUUGAGGCUAAAGUGGGAGUAUUGCUUGAGUCCAGGAGUUCGAGACCAGCCUGGGUAAUGUAGUGAGACCCCAUCUCUACAAGAAAUAAACAAAACUAGCCACAGAGAAGUUGUGUGUGCAGGUGCUUUUCUUUAAGUUUCCUGAUCCAAAGUGCCCAAGUUCUGGGCUGGAAGUGAAUCACAGUGAGUUUGCAUUUUGUGUCUCGUAGUCAUUCAUAACUUUGGUCUUUGUUCAUAAUAAUUACCCUUGGAAUGAAAUUCAAAUUCCUCACUCCUGCCUUCGAAGCCCCGCAGGGUCCACUCCCUCCCCUUCUCUCCAGCCCUCUCCCUUUCACUCUCCCUAUUCCAGCCACGGUGGCCUCCCUACUGUUCUUUGACCCACCUAGCUUGUUCCCACCUCAGGGCCCUUACCUUUACCACUCAUCCACCCCCAGCACCCUUCUCUUAGGUCAUGCCUGCUUCUUGGAGGCCCUCCCUGGCUGUCCUGCUGGUCACCCCGCAUCCCAGCUCUCUGCUUCAUUUCCUUUACCACAAUCUCAAAUGAUGCUGUUUACUCAUUCAAUGCCCAUCUCUCCCACUAGACUGUCAGCUCUGGGAAGGCGGGGAUUCUGUCCGCUUUGUUCUGUGAUGUGAUCCCAACACUCCCCUCAGGGCCUGACACAUAGUAGGGUCUCAAUAAAUACAGGUUAAAUCAAUGAUGGGGCCAAGCACACUGGCUCAUGCCUGUAAUCCCAGCACUUUGGGAGGCCAAGGAGGGUGGAUCGCUUGAGCCCAGGAGUUCGCUUGAGCCCAGGAGUAUUUUUCGUCGAGAAGGGAUUUUGUAUGCGAAAAAUUAGCCAGGUGUGUUGGCACACGCCUGUAAUCCCAGCUACUCGGGAGGCUAAGUGUGGGAGGAUUGCUUGAGCCUGGGAGGUCGAGGCUGCAACGAGCCGUGAUCACGCCACUACACUCCAGCCUGGAUGACAGAGCAAGACCCGGUCUCAAAUACAUAAAUAACAAAAUGAGUGGAUGAAUGAAUGAAACUGUGACCGUAGUCUGCAGCUAGACAGCUGGCAUUUGUUGAGCACCUACUGUGUGCCAGCCACUAUGCUGUUGUUUUGUCCCUGCGGCAGGUGGGUUGAUGCUCUUCAUUUUGCACAUGAGAAGACCGAGGCUCCCAGGCCUCAGAGCCCCAGAGCGUGGAGCUGGCCUUGAAUCCAGCCUGGGGACGCUGGUGUUGGGCUCCUUCCACCCUACGAAGUCCCCCAGCAAGAGAGUCACGGGGAGGGGAGCUGAGCGGAGCCUGCCCCUCAUGCACACAGGCACCCCUUGUCUAAGGCAGAACUUUCUAGACACCUCUCUGUCCCAACGCCUGGUGGAGCCCCUGUGGCCAGCAUGGGAGCUGAGUACCCAGGCAGCCUGGCCUUAUGCCAGUCAGUGCCAGGAACCAGCCUGGGGAGCAGAGUCCGGGCCAGCCCAGUGGUGAGUGACACAGGCCAUUUGCCCCAAGGGGGCUCCCAAUGUCCACUGCGGCAUGGGGAAGACCACCGCACUGAACCCUCUCCUCAAACCUCCAGGGCAGGUCCCCGGGCCCCAUGCAGAAAAGGGGCCAGGAUGGCUAAACCAGGCUCGAGCCUACCCAGGCUUCAAUCUAUGCCCCCAUUUCCUAGAUCUGAACACUGAGGCCCAGGGAAGUGCGGUAUCUCAGCAAGACUAAGAAGUAGAGUGGGAUUUAAACCAGGAAGGCACUCACGGUUGUUUAUGCACACGUGUGCACAUGGGCGUGUGUGGGCGGCUGUGUUCCCAGUGCCAUCUGCACCAAUGGUGUGUCCUCAUUGGCUCACAUCAGCCUCAUGUACACAGCAAGCGUGUCCAUGUGCACAUGCCUCCCGCCUCUGUGCCUGUGCUUGUGAACCCACAAGAUUCCUGGACCCUGACCCCACCCCCACUGUGUCAGGCUUGACUCAGCUGAGACUCAGUUUCCCCAUCUGCUCAGUGGCCCCAGAGGUUAUUGUCUGCUGGGGAUAGGGAUCUGGGCCCCUGCAUCCCUCUCAGCCCUGGGCAGAGCAGCCUAAGAGAGCCAGGGAAGGCACCAUGCCAGUUUGGGCCAGGGAAGAAGGGGGACAGAGGGCGGGAGCCAGCACAGGGUCUGUCUGGGAGCCUAGGGGCUCAGGCCCGUGUCCACCUUCCCCUUGGGGUAGAGCUAGCCCCCAGGGCCCUGGCCUAGUCCUUCAUGUCUCAUGCUCUCAGCCUGGUGAAGGGAAAAUCAUCCCAUGUAGGCCAGACCCAGGGCUGGGCGAUGCUGGUACACAGAACUGACUCCAGCACCCAGGACCUGCCCUCGAGAGGUGCCCAGGGUAGGCAGGCAGGUGAGCAGGUAAACCAGUCACCAAAAGACAGCCUGUAGUCCUGAGUGUGGAUUUUCCUUUGAACACUUGUUAGCUGUGCAUCCUUGGGCAAGUCUCUUAACCUCUCUGAGCCUCUAUCUCCUCCCCAGGAGAAAACUAUGCUCCCCACUCGGGGUUGGGUGAGAUCCCAGCACAGAGCCUGGCACAGGUGGUGCCGCUGAGUCACAUGGAGGCUUCCCUUAUUUAAGGUCUGCUCUGGGAACCAGGAGGAUAGAAAAGACCAGGGGGAGGACAGAUUCCCUCUGGGGCUGGGGAAGCCCCCAGUUCACCUCCCACCUCCAGAGGAGGUGCCGCCCAGCCAGACCUGGACCAGUGAAGGCAAGGUUGGCAUAGAGAAGCCGGAAGCAGGAGGGCAGUCCAGGCAGAGGGCACAGCCCAGGCAAAUGACAGUCAUGUCUCUCAAAUCCAGGGUUCUCCUCGUACUUCAGGUCUCAGCAAAAGGCCACCUUUUCAGAAGAGCCUCACCUGUUCGCUCAAUCUUGGGGACCCCAUACCCCCACCUUCCAUCAAAGCAGCAGGCUUAUUUUCCGCUUUGAACUUAUAAACAAUCAUGCUUGUUUAUUAUCUGUCUCCUCUGCCAAGUUCCCCCAGGGUGUGGACAAAGUCUGUCCUGUUCACUGCUCUGUCUAGCACAGCACCUGGUACACAGUAGAGGCUUAAUAACACAGUGAGCACCGUUUAAGCAAGUUACUCCACCUCUCACUGCCUCAGUUUCCUUAUCUGUAAAACGUGCAUCAUAACAGCACCUACCUCAUCCAGUUGUAAGAAUUCAAUGAGUUACUAUUCAUAAUGCCCUUAGAAAUGUCAUAAGAAUUAAACGAGUUAACAUUUGUAAAGCCUUAGAACAGUUUCUCCUUGUGACCACGUAGGUACUCUGCAAAAGUGUAUAAAUAAAAUAUACAAUGAGUGAAUGAAGAGAAUAACAGAUGCAUAGAUUUGGAAAGUCAUAAUAUUAUAGAUUACCAAGUUGCAUAAUUUGUAAUGUCCUGGUUGGUAUUCACAUUUCAUUUUCUUUUGCUUUUUUUUUUCUUCCCAUAGAAACGAGGUCUCAAUAUAUUGCUCAGGCUGGUCUCAAUCUCCUGGGCUCACGCGAUCCUACCGCCUCAGCCUCCUAAAGUGCUGGAAUUACAGGCGUGAGCCACCAUGCCUGACCCACAUUUCCUUUUCUUUAUUACUAUUUCCUGGCUUUUUAUUUUGACAAUUUUUAAGCCCAUAGACAGUCAAAUGAUUAGUACAAUGAUUGCCUCAAUUUACCAGUUGUUAAUUCUUCAGUCUGCGGGCCUUCCCUCUAGCUAGGUUAAAUGAGAAAGAUGCAUAUUUCUACUUUUGGGGGGGCUUUUCUUGCCUGAUCCAUGUGGGAGCAAGUUGAAGACACCAAGGUAAUUUACUCCUGAACUCAUCAGCUGCUGUGAUUUUUUUUUAAAUCUCUAUCUCAAUGGAUAUAUGAAUUCUCUGGAACCAAUUGCAACCAGGUCCGUGAUCUUAUAAAUCGAUAAUUCUACAGAUCUACUAGUCCCUGAAUCCUUGAACCUGAAAAUAUUUGGUUCUAGAAACCGUCAUCUGCUGGUUCUCAGAGUCUGCACAUGGCUGAGGUUCUGUCUUUCUGUGGUCUGGGACUCCCGGUACUCUCCCCCGAGUCUGCGGCUCUCUCGGUCCAGUCCUGAUGAUCCUCCCAUUGGUGCCUCUGAGCACUGACUCCUACUUCCCAGAAGCUAUUGCCUGGGACGAAGAAAGGGGAAAACCCAGCCAGUCCCAAGUCCAGUGCAAUGCCAGCUUCGUGGAUGCCAAGUGGCACAGGGGCCUGGGUCACAGGCCCAAGGAUGGGACCCUGGCCGGGCCGCUCCCUGGGUGCCCAGACCCAUCUCAGGCCAGCUGGGUGAGGGGCAGAUGGGUGGCCCCCGCCUCCACCCUGUCCGUGGAGCAAUCGUCUGAGUCACCCCCACCUCAUGACUUGCCUGCCCGCCACCACUAAGGCCUGUAAUUACAGCUGCCUCCUCCUCCGAGGCUAGGUCUUAUCAGCCCAUCAGGGCAGGCCAAGGAGGGGGACGCCCUGGAGGUACCCCACAGAUGCGGCUGGUCCUGGGGCUUGAUGGCAUGCGAUCUGGGCAUGCCUCGGCCCUGCUAACCCCAAGCCCAGAGGCUGGCUCUAGACUCCCAGAACUCCCACUGUCCAUUCCCCAAAACCCUGCCUCAAGUUCCACCAUUCAACUCAUUUUCCUGUUGAAGCGUAAACUGAUCACUCACAAGACAUUUCAGAGCAGAUUUUCCAAAGCCCCGGGGAGGGGAGAAGCUCUGCGUUAGGCACACAGGGAGCUCAAGGAAGACUCAGCAAAGCGCCACUAUGGUUGCGGCUGUUGGUCAGACCUCACCGUGGGUGCUGGAGAAGGGAGGAAAGAAAGGGUCUUGAUGAAGGGACUGUCACUGGUGACUGGUUCUGGAAGGGAGGUGGAGGCAGCAGCCAGCAAACCGACCCUUCACCUCCUUACCUGCUCCCCUUAUCAGCUAGCUGCCUUCUGACCCUGGAGGGAGGAACUCUGGCUCCUAUUCCAUAGAUGAGGGAACUGAGGCUCAGAGAAGCUUCACACCAACUCCUGUCCUCCAAGGGAAGGCAGCAGGGAUCGUGGUGAUGUUCUGGGAAUGGGUGUGGCUGUUCCCAGGGAAUGGGGAUCCUCCCAUCCCAGCAAAGGACUAUCCAGCUGCACUCAGACCUCCUGGAUUCAAAUCUGUACAAUUAGACCCUUAGACCCUCUGUGCUUCAGUUUCCCCAACUGGAGAUAAUAGCAAGGCCAACCUCAUCUGGUUGUUGUGAGGAUUAAAUCCAUCACCUAAUGAGAAGCUUCCUGAAGGGGCUCAGCCCAACAUCCCCCGCCCAUCUCUGGGAGGACCCCCAGAUGGCAUCAGCCACAACAUUGCUCGGAAAAUGUCUCCCGUCCACAGGUCCCUCCUGACCAGCUCUUCUCCCCAACAAGAUCGUGUGCCCCUUGGGAAGCCACCUGGUCAGGUAGGCACUGCCAUGAGCCCCUGUUACAGGAGAGAACUGAGGCUCCCAGCCGGGCAGGGCUCACUCGAGGUCUACACCCUGGAUGCAGAUGACCCUCACCUCUGUCCUGUGUGGGAGCCACAGGAGGAAGGUGGGGACAAAAGACCAAUUCCUGCUGUUUAGCCACCCACCUUCUGGAGGGAAAGGCAGAGAAGUCAACCGCAAUAGUAAUAAUAACAAGAGACCGCCAGGUAUUGAGCAUCUAGUAAGUGCUUUAUGUCCGAAAUCUCAUUUCAUCAUCAUAAAAUUGCUGGGAGGCAGGUAUUAUUAUCAUCCCCAUUUUACAGAUGAGGAAACUGAGGUUCAGGUGAAGCAACUUGCCCGAGGUCAAUCAGUUAAUAAAGGGGUUCAAAUCCUAGCCAGGUCCACUGAAUGUCUGUGCUCACUCAACCCUCACAACCGUCUUAUCAGGCAGGGUUGAUGUUCCCAAAUUACAGAUGAGGUAACUGAGGCUCCAAGCCGCAAAGUCACAUGCCCAAGGUCACACAGCUAGGAGGGGGGACCAGGGAUUUAAACCUGGGCUUCUGGCCCCCAAGGCCCCCGUCUUGUUUCUU
rnacentral:lncRNA from 1 species